GACGAACGCUGGCGGCGUGCCUAAUACAUGCAAGUCGAGCGGACUUCUUAAGGGCUUGCUCUUGAGCGGUUAGCGGCGGACGGGUGAGUAACACGUGGGCAACCUGCCCGACAGACCGGGAUAACGCUUGGAAACGAGUGCUAAUACCGGAUAGGCUUCUCCCUCGCAUGAGAGAGAAGAGAAAGAAGCUUUCGCUUCACUGUCGGACGGGCCCGCGGCGCAUUAGCUAGUUGGUGAGGUAACGGCUCACCAAGGCGACGAUGCGUAGCCGACCUGAGAGGGUGAUCGGCCACACUGGGACUGAGACACGGCCCAGACUCCUACGGGAGGCAGCAGUAGGGAAUCUUCCACAAUGGGCGCAAGCCUGAUGGAGCAACGCCGCGUGAAUGAUGAAGGCCUUCGGGUUGUAAAAUUCUGUCUUCUGUGAAGAACAAGUGCGAGAAGGGAAUGCUCGCACCCUGACGGUAACAGAGGAGGAAGCCCCGGCUAACUACGUGCCAGCCGCCGCGGUAAUAC
rnacentral:rRNA from 1 species